rnacentral:rRNA from 1 species
CCUACGGGUGGCAGCAGUGAGGAAUAUUGGUCAAUGGACGAGAGUCUGAACCAGCCAAGUAGCGUGAAGGAUGACGGCCCUACGGGUUGUAAACUUCUUUUGUCAGGGAGCAAUUGGGUCCACGCGUGGGCUUAGCGAGAGUACCUGGAGAAAAAGCAUCGGCUAACUCCGUGCCAGCAGCCGCGGUAAUACGGAGGAUCCGAGCGUUAUCCGGAUUUAUUGGGUUUAAAGGGAGCGUAGGUGGAUUGUUAAGUCAGUUGUGAAAGUUUGCGGCUCAACCGUAAGAUUGCAGUUGAAACUGGCAGCCUCGAGUACAGGAGAGGUGGGCGGAAUGCGUGGUGUAGCGGUGAAAUGCUUAGAUAUCACGAAGAACUCCGAUUGCGAAGGCAGCUCACUGGCCUGCAACUGACACUGAGGCUCGAAAGUGUGGGUAUCAAACAGGAUUAGAUACCCUGGUAGUC